rnacentral:rRNA from 1 species
UGGGGAAUAUUGGACAAUGGGCGAAAGCCUGAUCCAGCCAUGCCGCGUGAGUGAUGAAGGCCCUAGGGUUGUAAAGCUCUUUUGUGCGGGAAGAUAAUGACGGUACCGCAAGAAUAAGCCCCGGCUAACUUCGUGCCAGCAGCCGCGGUAAUACGAAGGGGGCUAGCGUUGCCCGGAAUCACUGGGCGUAAAGGGUGCGUAGGCGGGUUUCUAAGUCAGAGGUGAAAGCCUGGAGCUCAACUCCAGAACUGCCUUUGAUACUGGAAGUCUUGAGUUCGGGAGAGNUGAGUGGAACUGCGAGUGUAGAGGUGAAAUUCGUAGAUAUUCGCAAGAACACCAGUGGCGAAGGCAGCUUACUACACAAUCAUUGACACUGAGGCACGAAAGCGUGGGUAGCGAACA